UUUUAGCCCUGAUGGGAGCGGCAUCCUCUUGUGGAGCGGUAGCGGAGCAAGAGAUAUAGCGGACAGCAGGACAAAAU
rnacentral:sRNA from 1 species